rnacentral:rRNA from 1 species
UGACCGCUAGCUAUAGGCUUAACACAUGCAAGUCGAGGGGAAACGGCAUUAUGUGCUUGCACAUUUUGGACGUCGACCGGCGCACGGGUGAGUAUCGCGUAUCCAACCUGCCCUUUACUUGGGGAUACCCCGUUGAAAGACGGCCUAAUACCCGAUGUAAUUCAUUGAUGGCAUCAGAUAUGAAUAAAAGAUUUAUCGGUAAAGGAUGGGGAUGCGUCUGAUUAGCUUGUUGGUGAGGUAACGGCUCACCAAGGCGACGAUCAGUAGGGGUUCUGAGAGGAAGGUCCCCCACAUUGGAACUGAGACACGGUCCAAACUCCUACGGGAGGCAGCAGUGAGGAAUAUUGGUCAAUGGGCGCAAGCCUGAACCAGCCAAGUAGCGUGCAGGAAGACGGCCCUAUGGGUUGUAAACUGCUUUUAUACGAGAAUAAUUUGAUGCACGUGUGCGUUAUUGCAUGUAUCGUAUGAAUAAGGACCGGCUAAUUCCGUG